GAGCAUGGUGCAGGAUCUAUUCGUGUCCUGAUCUAUUUUUCUUACCUUUGAGGUGACGACAGAUGCAACUGAACGUGUUCGCGCAACUUAUGUCAGUGUAUCAUUUAUGCAUUUGGUGCCUGAGAUGAACCAUGCGUCCCUUUGUUGCCCGUGUGAUGGUGCGCCUGCCUGUGUGUGUGUGUCUGUGUAUGUGUGUGUGUGCGUGCGUGCGUGCGUGCGUGCAGACAGGAGGCAGGGCUGUAGCCGGUGGAUCUCCCCCUCCUCUCCCUUUGCAGAGAUUUUACAUUGGACCAUGAGGGGUGUCAGUGCUCCUCGAGCACGUUUCUACCGGCGCGCGCGCCCGCCGGUUCACCGGUGCGCGCAAGGUAAAAGGGUUGCUCCGCAUGCGCGCUCUUGCCGAGGUCGACUCGAUUGAGUGUCCGCCAGAUUUGACUUGAAAAGGCGCUCCAGUUAUAAAACCGACCGCUCCCGUCCUUAGUUCUGAUUGGUGGAGACAUUUUAAAGGCACACCUGUGACCACGUGACAGUUAAUUUUGAACAAAUGUAUAACAGUGCACCAAGAAGACAGAGGGAGAUGCAUCCUAAUCUAACCUACACAGUUCAGCAGUCACCAUAUUCAGACUUGAUUGAUUGUCAGAAGAAUUGCGUUUAAUUAACAUUACUAAGCUGAUAUUCAAAUAAUAAGGUGUUCAGGAUUGAUGCCAGGUAAUUAACUGGUCCAAUCACACAGAACGAGUUUGGAGAAGUGAGGUGAACGGCAGAAGGACGCAUUCCCCACGGGAACUAAUAAACACCUCGUUAAACAUGAUCAGAGGACCACCUAAUGGAUAAACCCGGGAGCAAGAGAAAACGAACUCAUCCUGCAGUCAAAUCAUGUGAGACACCAGCGCCUGAGCAGCCCGGACAUGAGCAUGAAGACAGACCGAGGCGUGGCUCGUCUCCUGAAACUGACAGUGAGCUGCAGGCUUCUCUUCAUUCUCGUAAGGAACAAGAACGGAGGCUUCAGAUUAGAACAUCCUGUCGGCGCUUGUGCGAACUCCUGCCCUUUGUCAGUGGUCAUUUAGACACAGCCACCACUCUGGAGCUCACAGCUAAGUACAUGAGCUACCUGAAGCAGACUCUGCCUCAGGACGUUCUGACUAAAGUUCAUAAAGCGGUUGAGGAGAAUAUGAAAAGUUCUUGGAAAAAACCAAGGAAACCACCCAAGAAACGAAAAACAAUCAGGCUAAAGAGGAACACCUCACAGAUAGCAAAGCCAUCUGCCAAGAAGUCAACUAAGGUUCACAUUUCUAGGAGACAAAGGCCUACUUGGCACAAGAACUCUGAAGAAGUAAAUCAGCCCUCCAUCUCAAUAAGCUUGCCUCUGAUGAUGGAUCAAGCUCUUUCCCCAGCUGAGGGCCCAGCCACAGUCCAUGCCCCGCCGAUACUGUUGGACAAAUCGGCUGUUCCCCGGGGACAAAUGCUACCAGUGUGCCAGAAUCAAUUCCCAGCUGCCUCAUUUCAGUCAGUGGAAAAUAACUGGAUGAACUCAUCUUCAGCAUUCCCGAGCCCCGCCUCUAGUUCCUUUACAUCAGCGGUGAUCGGCCAGACCUUCUUGGAGCCAUCCUCAAGCCACGCUGCAGCGCUGGAGAUUUGGGAUGGCAGCGCAGGCCUGGCAAACCCUGCUGCUCUGCCACCAGCAAAUGUCAGCCAACCCUACAACGCACCAGAUCAGGCCUCAGUGAUGACUUUGAUCUUGCCUCUCGCAGAACACAGCCAGGGUCAUGCACCUCUAGCUGGUCUGAAUGAAAACACCCCUGCAGUAGAUGUUAUGAAUCAGGCGUUGGUUCCAUUGGUGGCGUUUCAGGGUGCGACUCUAAGCUCCGAUGUGACAUCUGAGAGGUUAGAUCUGUCCGUGUCAGACACUCCAUGCAACUUAAGACCCCUCGAGCAGAGCAGCCUCUGUAGCUUUAGCCCUUGGACUCACAGCUCACAGGACACCGUCAGUCCCUUUUGGCUGGAUUUGCUGUUGGAUACCAAUGACAGCUUGUGUGUCCUUGAUGCUCCUGUUGAAAACAUUGCUCUCUCUCCCUACAAAGACCCCAGCUAAACAAAGUCUGAAGACAUCACCAAGAAGACACUAACAUUAAUGCUCCUAUUUUGCAGGUUUGAUUAGUGAAAUAUUAAAGAAACAGUGUGUUUAUAAAUUUUGAUUGAUUUGCUUUGGUCAGUAUGGCAUUUUGAGAGGAGGUUAGUACAAUUUAUUUGUUGACAUUCUUUCACAUACAUUAUUGAAGUGGAGUGCUAUUGAUUUUGUUAUUUGGUUGAGGCAUUAAACAAUACAAUGCCAUUUUCAAAUGGGUGCAAUCGAAAUGAUUCAAAUGCAUUAUGGUAGAUCUUAUUGUUAAAAAUGUACAAACAAUGUAGCCUACUGAAUUUGUUUUGCAACAUAGCUGUAGUUAGUUAAGACCAUUGUUAAUAAAUCCAUGCAUUUAUCUUGGCUGUGUACUUUCUCCUGAUUUUGCUUGUAAUUUACAGAAGUACUCUUACUGUUUCUUCUUGUUUAGGUUUAUAGAUCUUUAUUUUACCUUCCACCCUUGAUCUAAACCUUCACAAUGGACAUGGAAAAACUCAAAAAACAAUCGCAAAAGUCAAAAAGAGCAAAAAUGGAGGAAACUCUGGGAAGGAUCACAGAGACCGGAGCCACUUCCACGCCAGCCAGGAGUGCUGUGGCUGUCAAGUGAGCAAUUAUUAGUUCAAAUCAAACACAGACAGUUAAACAAAAUCUAAUCUAAUCAAAAGCAUAUUAUGAUAUGAUUAGAGCAUGAUGAAAAGGCAGACAAAGGCUGAUAACAUUUCCUGUGGGGUGGGUUUUAUUUAUUUUUAAUUGGUCUUUGAUUAUGGUAAUGAGUGAGUGUGUAUGUAUUUAGUGUGUAGGCAUCAACAUGGCAACAGCUCUUGUGCAUGUUUGCAAGGAUAAACACUGCAAUUAGGUCAGAUUUUAUUUUUCAUAAGUAUGUUUCUAAGAGUAAAUAUUGCAAUUAGGUCAUUUUUAAUUUUUCAUGAGUG
ensembl:lncRNA